UAAAGUUUAAUUUUAGCUUAAAAAUUUAAUUUAAUUUUUAUUUAUAUGUAAAUUUUAGUGGUGUAAUAUUUUUAAAUAAAAUAAAAAGUAACUUGCAGUAGAAAAUUUUAAUUAUAAAAUGAUUUUUGAAUUAGGAAUAAUUACAAUAUAAAUUAAAUUUGUGCCAGCAAUAGCGGUUAUACAAAUUAUAUGAUUAAAUUUUUUUAGUAAUAAUUAAUUUGGCAGGAAGAUUAAAUAUUUGAAUUUUAAGGUGAAAUUUAAAUUUAAAGAAUUUUUUAUUAUAAGAAUUUAGUUAGUUUUUAAUUUAAGACUAGGAUUAGAUACCCUAUUAUAAAAAAUAAUUUUUAUUCCUAAGUUAGUAGCUAUUAUAAUUGUGAAAAUUAAAAAUUUUGGCGGUAUUUUAUUCUUUUCAGAGGAACCUGUUCUGUAAUUGAUAUUUCACGAUAAGUUUAACUUUUAUUAAAUUUACAUAUCGUUGUAAGAAAGUAUUUUUGAAGAAUUUUAAUAUUUAAGAUUUUUAUAAGAAAAUAAAUCAGAUCAAGAUGUAGUUAUAUAAAAGAAGAAAUGGGUUACAUUAAAUUUAUUUAAAUGAAUUAUGAAUUUAAAGUUUUUAUGAAGGUGGAUUUGAAAGUAAUUAUAAUUAUUAAUUAAAAUGAUUGAGUUUUAAAAUAUGUACAUAUUGCCCGUCGCUUUCAUAAAAAAUGAAAUAAGUCGUAACAAAGUAGAUGUACUGGAAAGUGUUUCUAGAAUGAUC
rnacentral:ncRNA from 1 species